GAUGAACGCUCGCGAUAGGCUUAACACAUGCAAGUCGAGGGGCAGCAUGGUCUUAGCUUGCUAAGACUGAUGGCGACCGGCGCACGGGUGCGUAACGCGUAUGCAACUUGCCUCACAGAGGGGGAUAACCCGUCGAAAGACGGACUAAUACCGCGUACACUCCAUCUUGGGCAUCCAAGGUAGAGGAAAUGAAAUUCGCUGUGAGAUAGGCAUGCGUCCCAUUAGCUAGUUGGUGAGGUAACGGCUCACCAAGGCGACGAUGGGUAGGGGAACUGAGAGGUUGAACCCCCACACUGGUACUGAGACACGGACCAGACUCCUACGGGAGGCAGCAGUGAGGAAUAUUGGUCAAUGGGCGAGAGCCUGAACCAGCCAAGUCGCGUGAAGGAUGACUGUCUUAUGGAUUGUAAACUUCUUUUAGACGGGAAUAACAAGAGUCACGGGUGACUCCCUGCAUGUACCGUAUGAAUAAGCAUCGGCUAACUCCGUG
rnacentral:rRNA from 1 species